rnacentral:tRNA from 1 species
AAAAGAUAAGUACCAAUAAUUGGGUGUGCGACUAGCUUGAACCUAGGAGGGGGGGGUUCGAGUCCUCCAUCUUUUG